AAGGUAGCAAAUUUCCUUGUCGUUUAAGUAACGACCUGCAUGAAAGAUGGAACGAUUCGAUAGCUGUCUUGCGUACAUGUGCUGGUGAAAUGUUAGGUAGUGUGAAGAUACGGUAACAACGUUAUGGGACAAAAAGACCCUGUGAAGCUUUAUAGGGAUAGAAUUUAGUACGGGUUCAAUAUUGGUAUAUCUUCAUGCUAUGCAUCUUCAUUACAAGGAAAAACAGUGAGAUACCAUUCAUUGAGAAUACGGUGAGAUUCUUUGGCCCAAGUUGUUAAGCAUUAUAAUGAAACAUGCAAAUGUUAGAUGGGCUGUUUCAUUGGGGAGAUGACCUUCUAUAAUAUAACUAAAGGUUAACAAAGCAAUUGAUGUGGCCUUUGAUCAAGGACUAGUAAGUGCAAAGAUUGAUGUGUGGCUUAAUGGUCAAGCGUUAGAUCCAGUAUUUAAAUGGUGUCUUAGUGACCUUCAAAUUAAUCUAUCAGAUAAAAGCUACUCUAGGGAUAACAGGCUUAAUUCUUUGGAUAGCUCACAUUAACAAAAUCGUUUUGCACCUCGAUGUCGGCUUAUCUUUUCCAAAUGGAAAGCAAUCAAUCAGGAGUGGGAGUGCUCAUCCCAUAACAAGGUACGUGAGCUGGGUUCAGAACGAUGUAAAUCAGUUUGGUCUAUAUCUG
rnacentral:rRNA from 1 species